rnacentral:lncRNA from 1 species
GAGCUAGAAUUUGAUUCCAAUGCCUUUUCUCUUUUCAGUUGAUUCACUGCCUCUCCUACUAUUUACAACAAAGUUCUUAAAAAGUGUGUGUUGAUGAGCAAGUAUAUCCUGCUUAGACAUAAAAUGACCUGGAAAUGGAAAUUUACUGUAGGAGUGCUGAAGCAUGACUGCAACAGACUUGCAGUUGUGCAGGAGAUCCAUUCAGCCGCACAGAGAUGACCGGAAAAAUGGCUGGCGCAGGUAAUUUUCCAUUGCAUCGGUUCUUCUGGUGUUUUCAGGAUCUGUGCCAAAUGCGAGGCUGCCCUUGCCACUAAGGACUUCUAACAUUGCAACUAUCAAGAUGAUGAUGAACUCAUCAACAGAUGGAGAGAGACUGCUGUAUUUUGAAGGACUCUGGAUAAUAAAUAGGUAAUACUGAUAAAUCUUAUACUUAUUUUUGUUUAAACUGGGAAAAAUAAAGCAAUGGUAG